rnacentral:rRNA from 1 species
AUUGAACGCUGGCGGCAGGCCUAACACAUGCAAGUCGAACGGUAACAGGAAGAAGCUUGCUUCUUUGCUGACGAGUGGCGGACGGGUGAGUAAUGUCUGGGAAACUGCCUGAUGGAGGGGGAUAACUACUGGAAACGGUAGCUAAUACCGCAUAACGUCGCAAGACCAAAGAGGGGGACCUUCGGGCCUCUUGCCAUCGGAUGUGCCCAGAUGGGAUUAGCUAGUAGGUGGGGUAACGGCUCACAUAGGCGACGAUCCCUAGAUGGUCUGGGAGGCUGACCAGCCACACUGGAACUGAGACACGGUCCAGACUCCUACGGGAGGCAGCAGUGGGGAAUAGUGCACAGUGGGCGCAAGCCUUAUGCAGCCAUGCCGCGUGUAUGAAGAAGGCCUUCGGGUUGUAAAGUACUUUCAGCGGGGAGGAAGGGAGUAAAGUUAAUACCUUUGCUCAUUGACGUUACCCGCAGAAGAAGCACCGGCUAACUCCGUG